GAUGAACGCUAGCGGCAGGCUUAACACAUGCAAGUCGAGGGGCAGCACGGGUAGCAAUACCUGGUGGCGACCGGCGCAAGGGUGCGUAACGCGUGAGCAACAUGCCCUAUACAGGGGGAUAAUCCAGGGAAACUUGGUCUAAUAUCCCAUAGUAUUUAGAGGAGGCAUCUUCUAUAAAUUAAAGCUUCGGUGGUAUAGGAUUGGCUCGCGUGACAUUAGCUAGAUGGUGAGGUAACGGCUCACCAUGGCAAUGAUGUCUAGGGGUUCUGAGAGGAAGGCCCCCCACACUGGGACUGAGACACGGCCCAGACUCCUACGGGAGGCAGCAGUGAGGAAUAUUGGACAAUGGAUGGGAAAUCUGAUCCAGCCAUGCCGCGUGCAGGAAGACAGCCCUAUGGGUUGUAAACUGCUUUUAAUGGGAGCAAUAAGGUCUACGUGUAGACUGAUGAGAGUACCAUAUGAAUAAGC
rnacentral:rRNA from 1 species